rnacentral:rRNA from 1 species
AACGGCCAUACCAUGCUGAAUAUACCGGUUCUCGUUAGGUCACCGAAGUCAAGCAUCAUUGGGCGCGGUCAGUACUUGGGUGGGUGACCACCUGGGAACACCACGUGCCGUUG